rnacentral:rRNA from 1 species
AUUGAACGCUGGCGGCAGGCCUAACACAUGCAAGUCGAGCGCGCGGCGCGCGGGAGAGUAAUGUCUGGGAAUUGCCCUGGCGAGGGGUAAAACCGUUGGAAAGUACCGCUAAUACCGUAUACGCAGGGAUUGCCCAGGUGGGAUUCGCUUGUUGGUGGGGUAAUGGCUCACCAAGGCGACGAGCCCUAGCUGGUCUGAGAGGAUGAUCAGCCACACUGGAACUGAGACACGGUCCAGACUCCUACGGGAGGCAGCAGUGGGGAAUAUUGCACAAUGGGGGAAACCCUGAUGCAGCCAUGCCGCGUGUGUGAAGAAGGCCUUCGGGUUGUAAAGCACUUUCAGCGAGGAGGCGUUACUCGCAGAAGAAGCACCGGCUAACUCCGUGCCAGCAGCCGCGGUAAUAC